AUUGAACGCUGGCGGCAGGCUUAACACAUGCAAGUCGAGCGGAGAUGAGGUGCUUGCACCUUAUCUUAGCGGCGGACGGGUGAGUAAUGCUUAGGAAUCUGCCAUUUAGUGGGGGAUGACGUCCGGAAACGGGCGCUAAUACCGCAUACGUCCUACGGGAGAAAGCAGGGGACCUUCGGGCCUUGCGCUAUCAGAUGAGCCUAGGUCGGAUUAGCUAGUUGGUGAGGUAAUGGCUCACCAAGGCGACGAUCCGUAACUGGUCUGAGAGGAUGAUCAGUCACACUGGAACUGAGACACGGUCCAGACUCCUACGGGAGGCAGCAGUGGGGAAUAUUGGACAAUGGGCGAAAGCCUGAUCCAGCCAUGCCGCGUGUGUGAAGAAGGUCUUCGGAUUGUAAAGCACUUUAAGUUGGGAGGAAGGGCAGUAAGUUAAUACCUUGCUGUUUUGACGUUACCGACAGAAUAAGCACCGGCUAACUUCGUGCCAGCAGCCGCAGUAAAAC
rnacentral:rRNA from 1 species